rnacentral:rRNA from 1 species
CAGAGUUUGAUCAUGGCUCAGAACGAACGCUGGCGGCAUGCCUAACACAUGCAAGUCGAACGAGAAGGUGCCUUCGGGUACUGGACAGUGGCGCACGGGUGAGUAACAUGUGGGAACCUACCAUUUAGUAAGGAACAACAGUUGGAAACGACUGCUAAUACCUUAUACGCUCUACGGAGGAAAGAUUUAUCGCUAAAUGAUGGGCCCGCGUUAGAUUAGAUAGUUGGUGAGGUAAUGGCUCACCAAAGGUCUACGAUCUAUAGCU